rnacentral:rRNA from 1 species
GGGUUGUGAGGUUAAGCGACUAAGCGUACACGGUGGAUGCCCUGGCAGUCAGAGGCGAUGAAGGACGUGCUAAUCUGCGAAAAGCGUCGGUAAGGUGAUAUGAACCGUUAUAACCGGCGAUGUCCGAAUGGGGAAACCCAGUGCAAUUCGUUGCACUAUCGUUAACUGAAUACAUAGGUUAACGAGGCGAACCGGGGGAACUGAAACAUCUAAGUACCCCGAGGAAAAGAAAUCAACCGAGAUUCCCCCAGUAGCGGCGAGCGAACGGGGAGCAGCCCGGAGUCUGAAUCAGCUUGUGUGUUAGUGGAAGCGUCUGGAAAGUCGCAGGGUACAGGGUGAUACUCCCGUACACUAAAACACACAGGCUGUGAACUCGAAGAGUAGGGCGGGACACGUGGUAUCCUGUCUGAAUAUGGGGGGACCAUCCUCCAAGGCUAAAUACUCCUGACUGACCGAUAGUGAACCAGUACCGUGAGGGAAAGGCGAAAAGAACCCCGGCGAGGGGAGUGAAAAAGAACCUGAAACCGUGUACGUACAAGCAGUAGGAGCCCACUAGUUGGGUGACUGCGUACCUUUUGUAUAAUGGGUCAGCGACUUAUAUUCUGUAGCAAGGUUAACCGUAUAGGGGAGCCGCAGGGAAACCGAGUCUUAACUGGGCGUUAAGUUGCAGGGUAUAGACCCGAAACCCGGUGAUCUAGCCAUGGGCAGGUUGAAGGUUGGGUAACACUAACUGGAGGACCGAACCGACUAAUGUUGAAAAAUUAGCGGAUGACUUGUGGCUGGGGGUGAAAGGCCAAUCAAACCGGGAGAUAGCUGGUUCUCCCCGAAAGCUAUUUAGGUAGCGCCUCGUGAACUCAUCUUCGGGGGUAGAGCACUGUUUCGGCUAGGGGGUCAUCCCGACUUACCAACCCGAUGCAAACUACGAAUACCGAAGAAUGUUAUCACGGGAGACACACGGCGGGUGCUAACGUCCGUCGUGAAGAGGGAAACAACCCAGACCGCCAGCUAAGGUCCCAAAGUCAUGGUUAAGUGGGAAACGAUGUGGGAAGGCCCAGACAGCCAGGAUGUUGGCUUAGAAGCAGCCAUCAUUUAAAGAAAGCGUAAUAGCUCACUGGUCGAGUCGGCCUGCGCGGAAGAUGUAACGGGGCUAAACCAUGCACCGAAGCUGCGGCAGCGACACUAUGUGUUGUUGGGUAGGGGAGCGUUCUGUAAGCCGUUGAAGGUGGCCUGUGAGGGUUGCUGGAGGUAUCAGAAGUGCGAAUGCUGACAUAAGUAACGAUAAUGCGGGUGAAAAACCCGCACGCCGGAAGACCAAGGGUUCCUGUCCAACGUUAAUCGGGGCAGGGUGAGUCGACCCCUAAGGCGAGGCCGAAAGGCGUAGUCGAUGGGAAACAGGUUAAUAUUCCUGUACUUGGUGUUACUGCGAAGGGGGACGGAGAAGGCUAUGUUGGCCGGGCGACGGUUGUCCCGGUUUAAGCAUGUAGGCGGAUGUUCCAGGUAAAUCCGGAAUGUUGUUAACGCUGAGGUGUGAUGACGAGGCACUACGGUGCUGAAGUGACAAAUGCCCUGCUUCCAGGAAAAGCCUCUAAGCAUCAGGUAACAUCAAAUCGUACCCCAAACCGACACAGGUGGUCAGGUAGAGAAUACCAAGGCGCUUGAGAGAACUCGGGUGAAGGAACUAGGCAAAAUGGUGCCGUAACUUCGGGAGAAGGCACGCUGAUGGUAGGUGAAGUGACUUGCUCACGGAGCUGAAAUCAGUCGAAGAUACCAGCUGGCUGCAACUGUUUAUUAAAAACACAGCACUGUGCAAACACGAAAGUGGACGUAUACGGUGUGACGCCUGCCCGGUGCCGGAAGGUUAAUUGAUGGGGUUAUCCUCACGGAGAAGCUCUUGAUCGAAGCCCCGGUAAACGGCGGCCGUAACUAUAACGGUCCUAAGGUAGCGAAAUUCCUUGUCGGGUAAGUUCCGACCUGCACGAAUGGCGUAAUGAUGGCCAGGCUGUCUCCACCCGAGACUCAGUGAAAUUGAACUCGCUGUGAAGAUGCAGUGUACCCGCGGCAAGACGGAAAGACCCCGUGAACCUUUACUAUAGCUUGACACUGAACACUGGUCCUUGAUGUGUAGGAUAGGUGGGAGGCUUUGAAGUGUGGACGCCAGUCUGCAUGGAGCCAUCCUUGAAAUACCACCCUUUAAUGGCUGGUGUUCUAACGUGGGCCCCUAAUCGGGGUUGCGGACAGUGUCUGGUGGGUAGUUUGACUGGGGCGGUCUCCUCCUAAAGAGUAACGGAGGAGCACGAAGGUCAGCUAAUCCUGGUCGGACAUCAGGAGGUUAGUGCAAUGGCAUAAGCUGGCUUGACUGCGAGCGUGACGGCGCGAGCAGGUGCGAAAGCAGGUCAUAGUGAUCCGGUGGUUCUGAAUGGAAGGGCCAUCGCUCAACGGAUAAAAGGUACUCCGGGGAUAACAGGCUGAUACCGCCCAAGAGUUCAUAUCGACGGCGGUGUUUGGCACCUCGAUGUCGGCUCAUCACAUCCUGGGGCUGAAGUAGGUCCCAAGGGUAUGGCUGUUCGCCAUUUAAAGUGGUACGCGAGCUGGGUUUAGAACGUCGUGAGACAGUUCGGUCCCUAUCUGCCGUGGGCGCUGGAGAAUUGAGGGGGGCUGCUCCUAGUACGAGAGGACCGGAGUGGACGCAUCACUGGUGUUCGGGUUGUCAUGCCAAUGGCAUUGCCCGGUAGCUAAAUGCGGAAGAGAUAAGUGCUGAAAGCAUCUAAGCACGAAACUUGCCCCGAGAUGAGUUCUCCCUGACUCCUUGAGAGUCCUGAAGGAACGUUGAAGACGACGACGUUGAUAGGCCGGGUGUGUAAGCGCAGCGAUGCGUUGAGCUAACCGGUACUAAUGAACCGUGAGGCUUAACCUUACAACGCCGAAG